rnacentral:rRNA from 1 species
UGGGGAAUUUUGGACAAUGGGGGAAACCCUGAUCCAGCCAUCCCGCGUGUGCGAUGAAGGCCUUCGGGUUGUAAAGCACUUUUGGCAGGAAAGAAACGUCGCGGGUUAAUACCCCGCGAAACUGACGGUACCUGCAGAAUAAGCACCGGCUAACUACGUGCCAGCAGCCGCGGUAAUACGUAGGGUGCAAGCGUUAAUCGGAAUUACUGGGCGUAAAGCGUGCGCAGGCGGUUCGGAAAGAAAGAUGUGAAAUCCCAGAGCUUAACUUUGGAACUGCAUUUUUAACUACCGGGCUAGAGUGUGUCAGAGGGAGGUGGAAUUCCGCGUGUAGCAGUGAAAUGCGUAGAUAUGCGGAGGAACACCGAUGGCGAAGGCAGCCUCCUGGGAUAACACUGACGCUCAUGCACGAAAGCGUGGGGAGCAAACAGGAUUAGAUACCCUGGUAGUCCACGCCCUAAACGAUGUCAACUAGCUGUUGGGGCCUUUCGGGCCUUGGUAGCGCAGCUAACGCGUGAAGUUGACCACCUGGGGAGUACGGUCGCAAGAUUAAAACUC